GACGAGGUGGCCGAGUGGUUAAGGCGAUGGACUGCUAAUCCAUUGUGCUUUGCACGCGUGGGUUCAAAUCCCACCUUUGUCG
rnacentral:tRNA from 1 species